AGCCUUUUAGCAUUUCUAAGCUGGACUAGGCGAGAGUGUCACACCUGCUUCCCUUGGCUUCCAUCUUGCCUCUUCCAGUUUAUUUCUCAAGCUGCAGUCAAACUGAUCUUAGAAAACACGAAUCUAAUCAUGCAGCACCCCUGACUAAGGUCUUCCGGUGGCUGUUCAGAGCCUCUUGGGUAGCAAACAGAUGGCUUCUGUUGUAUACAAAGCCCCUUAAGAGAGGUCUCCUCAUCUACUUUUUCUAGCCUCUUCUCUCCCAACUCUGUAUUCUCCUGUAACACUGACUGAGCACUGCAGGCUUCUGCCCUUUGCACAUAGUAAGCAUGCAUUUCUCUCUGUCUGAAAUGCUCUUUCUGUUGUUCAUCUAGAAGACUGUUUUCCCUUGAAGACUCAGCCCUAGCAUCACCUCUUCUGUGAAGUCUUCUGCUACUUUCCCAAGCAGAGUGAGUGUUCCUUCCCUUGUCUGAGUGGCCUUGGCCAUUGAUGUGCUUAUCAUGUUGUCUUACGUAUCAAAUUAUUUGUUGUCAUAUCUGUCCCCUUCACCAUACUGUGAGCUCCAAAGAAAAGAAGUGAUCUUUAUACUUCUUAUGCUUAGUACACAACUAGACAUAUAGUGUGUGUGUGAGAGAGAGAAUUUUUUAAUGAAAUAAUUGAAUACAUUGGAAGUGUUUCAUUCAAAAUACUCAUCCAUUAUUCUUUGGAUAGUAGCAUAAAUUUGAUGUUUUAUGUACAAAAGUAAAAACAUUUGAAAAAUA
rnacentral:lncRNA from 10 species